GUAGGUGGCAAGCGUUGUCCGGAAUUAUUGGGCGUAAAGCGCGCGCAGGCGGUCCUUUAAGUCUGAUGUGAAAGCCCACGGUUCAACCGUGGAGGGUCAUUGGAAACUGGGGGACUUGAGUACAGAAGAGGAAAGCGGAAUUCCAAGUGUAGCGGUGAAAUGCGUAGAGAUUUGGAGGAACACCAGUGGCGAAGGCGGCUUUCUGGUCUGUAACUGACGCUGAGGCGCGAAAACGUGGGGAGCAAACAGGAUUAGAUACCCUGGUAGUCCACGCUGUAAACGAUGAGUGCUAAGUGUUAGGGGGUUUCCCGACCCCUUAGUGCUGCAGCUAACGCAUUAAGCACUCCGCCUGGGGGAGUACGGCCGCAAGGCUG
rnacentral:rRNA from 1 species